rnacentral:sRNA from 1 species
UACCGUCCUCGCUCGGCGCCUUGCGCCUC